UGGGGAAUAUUGCACAAUGGGCGAAAGCCUGAUGCAGCGACGCCGCGUGGGGGAUGACGGCCUUCGGGUUGUAAACCUCUUUCACCAUCGACGAAGGUCCGGGUUUUCUCGGAUUGACGGUAGGUGGAGAAGAAGCACCGGCCAACUACGUGCCAGCAGCCGCGGUAAUACGUAGGGUGCGAGCGUUGUCCGGAAUUACUGGGCGUAAAGAGCUCGUAGGUGGUUUGUCGCGUUGUUCGUGAAAUCUCACGGCUUAACUGUGAGCGUGCGGGCGAUACGGGCAGACUUGAGUACUGCAGGGGAGACUGGAAUUCCUGGUGUAGCGGUGGAAUGCGCAGAUAUCAGGAGGAACACCGGUGGCGAAGGCGGGUCUCUGGGCAGUAACUGACGCUGAGGAGCG
rnacentral:rRNA from 1 species